rnacentral:rRNA from 1 species
GACAACAGGGAUUGCCUCAGUAACGGCGAGUGAAGCGGCAACAGCUCAAAUUUGAAAUCUGGCCCCCCGGCCCGAGUUGUAAUUUGCAGAGGAUGCUUCUGGCGCGGUGCCUUCCAAGUCCCCUGGAACGGGGCGCCAUAGAGGGUGAGAGCCCCGUCCGGUUGGCCGCCAAGCCUGUGUGAAGCUCCUUCGACGAGUCGAGUAGUUUGGGAAUGCUGCUCUAAAUGGGAGGUAGACCCCUUCUAAAGCUAAAUACCGGCCAGAGACCGAUAGCGCACAAGUAGAGUGAUCGAAAGAUGAAAAGCACUUUGAAAAGAGGGUUAAACAGUACGUGAAAUUGUUGAAAGGGAAGCGCUUGUGACCAGACGUGCACCGGGUGUUCAGCGGGCGUUCUCGCCCGUGCAUUCGCCCCGGUGCAGGCCAGCGUCGGUUCGGGCGGGGGGAUAAAGGCGCCAGGAACGUAUCUCCCCCGGGAGUGUUAUAGCCUGGCGCGUCAUGCCCCCGCCUGGACCGAGGUUCGCGCUCCGCAAGGACGCUGGCGUAAUGGUCCCCAGCGGCCCGUCUUGAAACACGGACCAAGGAGUCGAGGUUUUACGCGAGUGUCUGGGUGUCAAACCCGCACGCGUAAUGAAAGUGAACGUAGGUGGGAGCUUCGGCGCACCACCGACCGAUCCUGAUGUUUUCGGAUGGAUUUGAGUAGGAGCGUAGGGCCUCGGACCCGAAAGAUGGUGAACUAUACUUGGAUAGGGUGAAGCCAGAGGAAACUCUGGUGGAGGCUCGCAGCGGUUCUGACGUGCAAAUCGAUCGUCAAAUCUGAGUAUGGGGGCGAAAGACUAAUCGAACCAUCUAGUAGCUGGUUACCGCCG